AUUGAACGCUGGCGGCAUGCCUUACACAUGCAAGUCGAACGGCAGCACGGGAGUAAUCCUGGUGGCGAGUGGCGAACGGGUGAGUAAUAUAUCGGAACGUGCCUAGUUGUGGGGGAUAACGCAGCGAAAGCUGUGCUAAUACCGCAUACGAUCUAUGGAUGAAAGCGGGGGAUCGCAAGACCUCGCGCAAUUAGAGCGGCCGAUAUCAGAUUAGCUAGUUGGUGGGGUAAAAGCCCACCAAGGCGACGAUCUGUAGCUGGUCUGAGAGGACGACCAGCCACACUGGAACUGAGACACGGUCCAGACUCCUACGGGAGGCAGCAGUGGGGAAUUUUGGACAAUGGGCGCAAGCCUGAUCCAGCAAUGCCGCGUGCAGGAUGAAGGCCUUCGGGUUGUAAACUGCUUUUGUACGGAGCGAAACGGCUUCCACUAAUACUGGAGGCUAAUGACGGUACCGUAAGAAUAAGCACCGGCUAACUACGUGCCAGCCGCCGCUGUAAAAC
rnacentral:rRNA from 1 species